AUGGAUACUGCGCUCCAACACAUUUUGCAUACGAUGACCCUGUUUGCGAAGGAAAAUUUACAAGCCAUAAGUGAACUCUACAUCGACCUCCCAAACGAUGCACAACUGAUUUUGGCCAGAGGCGUCUGGAACUUCCUUGCCGGAAACACAUAUACCAGCCUGGUUUCCAAACCAAUCCUUGGGGCAGAGGAGUUGUCCCCUACCCUCCACAAGCUGGUGUUGCUCAACUCCUUGAGCAGUUUUUCAUCUCUGCACCAGACAACGAGCUAUCCCGCAACUUCCUUGUUCAUGAGGAGCCAAGAUUUGUUCGGAUAA
rnacentral:rRNA from 1 species